rnacentral:rRNA from 1 species
AUUGAACGCUGGCGGCAUGCCUUACACAUGCAAGUCGAACGGCAGCACGGGUGCUUGCACCUGGUGGCGAGUGGCGAACGGGUGAGUAAUACAUCGGAACAUGUCCUGUAGUGGGGGAUAGCCCGGCGAAAGCCGGAUUAAUACCGCAUACGAUCUACGGAUUAAAGCGGGGGACCUUCGGGCCUCGCGCUAUAGGGUUGGCCGAUGGCUGAUUAGCUAGUUGGUGGGGUAAAGGCCUACCAAGGCAACGAUCAGUAGCCGGUCUGUGGGGACGACCAGCCACACUGGAACUGAGCCACGGCCCAGACUACUACGGGAGGCAGCAGUGGGGAAUUUUGGACAAUGGGAGAAAGCCUGAUCCAGCAAUGCCGCGUGUGUGAAGAAGGCCUUCGGGUUGUAGAGCACUUCUGUCCGGAAAGAAAACCUUGGCCCUAAUACGGUCGGGGGAUGACGGUACCGUAAGAAUAAGCACCGGCUAACUACGUG